GAUGAACGCUGGCGGCGUGCCUAAUACAUGAAAGUCGAGCGAACAGACGAGGAGCUUGCUCCUCUGACGUUAGCGGCGGACGGGUGAGUAACACGUGGAUAACCUACCUAUAAGACUGGGAUAACUUCGGGAAACCGGAGCUAAUACCGGAUAAUAUCUUGAACAGGAUGGUUCAUUAGUGAAAGCCGGUUUUGCUGUCACAUAUAGAUGGAUUCGGGUGGCAUUAGCUAGUUGGUAAGGUAACGGCUUUCCAAGGCAGCGAGGCGUAGCCGACGUGAGAGGGGGAUCGGCCACACGGGAACGGGACCAGGGUCAGGGCUCCUGCGGGAGGCAGCAGUAGGGAAUGUGCCGCAGUGGGCGAAAACCUGGCGGAGCAGCGCCGCGUGAGUGAUGAAGGUCUUCCGAGCGUAAAACUCUGUUAUGAGGGAAGAACAAAUGUGUAAGGAACUAUGCACGUCUUGACGGUACCGAAUCAGAAAGCCACGGCUAACUACGUG
rnacentral:rRNA from 1 species